UUCCGCGAACGGGAGGCAGGGGAUCAACGUCCGGGCCGGCCCAGGAUCCGCUACCGGCGCCGCCGCCGCCCCGCCCCCGCCUUCUGCGGCUCGGGCCCCGCCGGGAGCGUCCGCGGCGCGUGCGAGCGGCUCACGCCGAGUCACACCCCCGCGGAGGCCGGGAUCGGGAGGCUGCGCGGGGAGCGUCGCCUGGCGCGGCCCGGGAAAGCGCGUCUUGCCCCCCGGAGCGCUGGGGCGGGAGCUCCGGACGGCGCAUCCCCCGGAGACGGCGGCGCUGGGAGGCGCUGGGAGGCGCGGGCCCCGGGGCUCGGCGCGCUGCGGGCGGCCAGCGCAGGCGGGGGGCAUCAGCCCAGCGGGCCGCGGCCGGUGCCCGCCCCGCACCCCCGCCCGGGCCUCCAGGACGCCGGCGGCUGCCGUGGCUACUCAGGCGGCGUCUCCUGCAGAAGUGAAGUGUGGGAUCUCUCCAUACGGACACCAACUCCAAGGAACUAGGAUGGAGGACACAUUGGAACAAUUAAUAUUUCAGAAUCACCAGCUCCUUACUGGAAAAACUGGCUGUAUAGGCAGAGGUGUUCCUCAACUCCCUAGACUUCCAGGAAGAGAUAUAAGUUUCAUCAUGUUGUCUGUUACAUGCCCAGCCCAUCUACCUCAUGAGUGAUGGAAACUUUUUGUUCCAGCUGCAGAAAUAUUCUUCAAAUAGUUUGAGACAUUACAUACUAUAAUUAAAUUGCAUUAUAUUGCAUUAUAUUUAUUAUAUAAUAGAUUGUUUAUAAAUCACCAUUGUGUCAUAUCAGAUUUUAAUAGAAGCUUGAUAUCUGAAAAAAAGCACUGUAGUAAUACUCCUCAGGCUUUGAUGCUAAUUCCAUUUCUUUGGGAAAAUGUUUUAACUUCUCUGCAUACUAGUCCUAUCUUUCAAGACUUGUGUUGGAAGAGAAUGUAUCUUAAAGAACUAUAAAAAAUAAUUAGAUAACUUAUAAUAUUGUGUUUUAUUUUAUUAAUUAAACAUUUGUAUUUUAUAUUUUAAGUUACUUCUAUAGUAUUGAAACACUUUGAAUUAUCUCAAAUUGCAGCUAGAAUUGCAUUUGGUUAUCACAGAUAGCUCUAGUUAACACGGUUAGCAUUUGAAUCCUUAUAGAUUUAACUUAACAGUCCAGUGAUGUUUUAUGAACUGAAUUUCCUUGUAUAUUUAUGAUUCAAUCAAUCUCACGGAUUCUAAAAGUGCUUUUGUAAUUUUACAUGAAGUCUUUCAUACUGACCCUUAUAGUAAGACUCACAAUUUAAGAGCGUUAGUUCACAUGAAUAAAAUAUAGUCCAUAAAAAAUCA
rnacentral:lncRNA from 12 species